rnacentral:rRNA from 1 species
GGUUAUACUUAUAAUACAAUAAAAAAUGUUUGGUUUUAAUUAAUAAGAAUUAAUUUGAAUUAAUAAAUAGUUUUAUAAGGUGAAAUUUUUAAAAUUAGAAUAAGUUUAAGAAAGUUUAUGAGGUUAAUAAAUUUAGAAUUAAAAACUAGGAUUAGAUACCCUAUUAUUCUUAAUGAAAUAUUAUUUGCCAGGUUAGUAGUAGUUAUGGUCUUGAAAAUUAAAGGAGUUGGCGGUAUUUUAGUCUAUUCAGAGGAAUCUGUCCUAUAAUCGAUGAUCCACGAUUUUUUAUACUUAUUUUUUUAGUUUACAUAUCGCCGUAGAUUGAAUAUUUUUUAAAAAAUGGAAUAUUCAAUAAUUUUUAUGAUAAAAGAAUUCAGGUCAAGAUGUAGCUUAUAGAUAAGGAGAGAUGGGUUACAAUAAAUUUAUUUAAACGAAUUAAUUAUUGAAAUUUUAUUAUAAAGGUGGAUUUGAAAGUAAUUUUAUUUAAAUUAAUAAAGUGAUUUUAGCUCUAAAAUAUGUACAUA